rnacentral:rRNA from 1 species
UACGGAAGGGGCUGGCGUUGUUCGGAAUUACUGGGCGUAAAGCGCGCGUAGGCGGCUUGGCAAGUGAGGCGUGAAAGGCCUGGGCCCAACCUGGGAAUUGCGCUUCGGACUGCUUGGCUUGAGUCCGGGAGAGGGUGGUGGAAUUCCCAGUGGAGAGGUGAAAUUCGUAGAUAUUGGGAGGAACACCGGUGGCGAAGGCGGCCACCUGGCCCGGCACUGACGCUGAAGUGCGAAAGCGUGGGGAGCAAACAGG